AUCAUUACCGAGCGAGAAUUCUCUGAAUUCAACCUCCCACCCGUGUUUAUUGUACCUUGUUGCUUCGGCGGGCCCGCCUCACGGCCGCCGGGGGGCAUCUGCCCCCGGGCCCGCGCCCGCCGAAGACACCUUGAACUCUGUAUGAAAAUUGCAGUCUGAGUCUAAAUAUAAAUUAUUUAAAACUUUCAACAACGGAUCUCUUGGUUCCGGCAUCGAUGAAGAACGCAGCGAAAUGCGAUACGUAAUGUGAAUUGCAGAAUUCAGUGAAUCAUCGAGUCUUUGAACGCACAUUGCGCCCCCUGGUAUUCCGGGGGGCAUGCCUGUCCGAGCGUCAUUGCUGCCCUCAAGCCCGGCUUGUGUGUUGGGUCUCGUCCCCCUUCCCGGGGGGACGGGCCCGAAAGGCAGCGGCGGCACCGCGUCCGGUCCUCGAGCGUAUGGGGCUUUGUCACCCGCUCUGUAGGCCCGGCCGG
rnacentral:rRNA from 1 species